AUUGAACGCUGGCGGCAGGCUUAACACAUGCAAGUCGAACGAUGAAGAUAUAGCUUGCUAUAUUGGAUUAGUGGCGGACGGGUGAGUAACACUUAGGAAUCUACCUUUUAGCGGGGGAUAGCUCGGGGAAACUCGAAUUAAUACCGCAUAAUUUCUACGGAAUAAAGAGGGCUUUUAGCUCUCACUAGAAGAUGAGCCUAAGUAAGAUUAGCUAGUUGGUGGGGUAAAAGCCUACCAAGGCGACGAUCUUUAGCUGGUCUGAGAGGAUGAUCAGCCACACUGGGACUGAGACACGGCCCAGACUCCUACGGGAGGCAGCAGUGGGGAAUAUUGGACAAUGGGGGCAACCCUGAUCCAGCCAUGCCGCGUGUGUGAAGAAGGCCUUUUGGUUGUAAAGGCACUUUAAGCAGUGAAGAAGACCUAUUGGUUAAUACCCAAUAGCGGAUGACAUUAACUGCAGAAUAAGCACCGGCUAACUCUGUGCCAGCAGCCGCGGUAAUACAGAGGGUGCAAGCGUUAAUCGGAAUUACUGGGCGUAAAGCGAGCGUAGGUGGUUAAAUAAGUCAGAUGUGAAAGCCCUGGGCUCAACCUAGGAACGGCAUCUGAAGCUAUUUAACUAGAGUAGGUGAGAGGGAAGUAGAAUUUCAGGUGUAGCGGUGAAAUGCGUAGGGAUCUGAAGGAAUACCGAUGGCGAAGGCAGCUUCCUGGCAUCAUACUGACACUGAGGCUCGAAAGCGUGGGUAGCAAACAGGAUUAGAUACCCUGGUAGUCCACGCCGUAAACGAUGUCUACUAGCCGUUGGGGAACUUGAUUCCUUAGUGGCGCAGCUAACGCAAUAAGUAGACCGCCCUGGGGAGUACGGCCGCAAGGUUAAAACUCAAAUGAAUUGACGGGGGCCCGCACAAGCGGUGGAGCAUGUGGUUUAAUUCGAUGCAACGCGAAGAACCUUACCUGGUCUUGACAUACACAGAAUCUAGCAGAGAUGCAAGAGUGCCUUCGGGAAUUGUGAUACAGGUGCUGCAUGGCUGUCGUCAGCUCGUGUCGUGAGAUGUUGGGUUAAGUCCCGCAACGAGCGCAACCCUUAUCCUUAGUUGCCAGCACGUAAUGGUGGGGACUCUAAGGAGACUGCCAGUGGCAAACUGGAGGAAGGCGGGGACGACGUCAAGUCAUCAUGGCCCUUACGACCAGGGCUACCACGUGCUACAAUGGUAAGUACAAAGGGA
rnacentral:rRNA from 1 species